rnacentral:rRNA from 1 species
CAAUGGACGAAAGUCUGACGGAGCACGCCGCGUGAGUGAUGAAGGCUUUCGGGUCGUAAAACUCUGUUGUUAGGGAAGAACAAGUGCUAGUUGAAUAAGCUGGCACCUUGACGGUACCUAACCAGAAAGCCACGGCUAACUACGUGCCAGCAGCCGCGGUAAUACGUAGGUGGCAAGCGUUAUCCGGAAUUAUUGGGCGUAAAGCGCGCGCAGGUGGUUUCUUAAGUCUGAUGUGAAAGCCCACGGCUCAACCGUGGAGGGUCAUUGGAAACUGGGAGACUUGAGUGCAGAAGAGGAAAGUGGAAUUCCAUGUGUAGCGGUGAAAUGCGUAGAGAUAUGGAGGAACACCAGUGGCGAAGGCGACUUUCUGGUCUGUAACUGACACUGAGGCGCGAAAGCGUGGGGAGCAAACAGGAUUAGAUACCCUGGUAGUCCACGCCGUAAACGAUGAGUGCUAAGUGUUAGAGGGUUUCCGCCCUUUAGUGCUGAAGUUAACGCAUUAAGCACUCCGCCUGGGGAGUACGGC